CUUUAACGUAAAUUCGUUUCAUUGUAUUUUUUUCAUAUAUUACGUUCCUGUAAACUGAGGAACAACCUCAGCAAGACAUGUACGACAUUUUAGGCAGCGGAGAAGCCAUAAAAUUGGGUGCUAACGGUUUGGAAGGUCACUUCCUGCACAGACCUCGCUCCGUUGCCACAGUCCAGUGAAGCCAUGCAAAGCAAGUCGGGUCGGAACACACGGGCCGCCCUGUGCGCUGCCUUUUAUUUGAUGUUCGUCUCGGGGAAAUGUGAAACGGCAGCAUCAGAGGAGGAGGGCGAAAAGACCUUGCCUUUUCCCCGCGCCUCACUGGGCGCGGACACCGAACUGAUGCUGGCGGCAAAGCACGUGGUGGCCCAUCACCUGCAAGAGUGUCACCUCAUUAUAGCCGCCCCUCGCUCCUCUGUCUUGGCUCUGACUAUUAGAGUGUCAGGAGUGAACACUAUGGUGACAACCGUGGUGGAACUGCACUCUGACGCGUCCUUCACAAAACACGUAGAUAUCUGGAGGAGCGGACAAUUCCCCUGCCGCGCCCUGCUGCUUCACUGCACGGGGCAGAACACCAACCUGGCCAUACAGUUUCUGUUAGCGUCUAAAAUAUGGCAGCGGCCUGAGGUGCGCGUGGUUGUGAUGAGCAGAGGGGAAGACGGUGAUCACCUACUCAGCCACCACGUCCUGCGCAACACCCGCCAUGUGCUGCACAUCGAGCCUAACUACACCAGGCGCCGCAACGCCGCCCUGGGUACUGCCUCUGCACUUCACCACCAGAACCCACCAAUUCACUGCAAUUUAAAGCCUUUCCCAAAUCUUGUCCACUGGGAUGUCAGUUGUUCGUCUAUUGCACGCCAUUUGUACAAAACUUAUCAAAGUAUUCUUUUAUUUAAUUAUGUUUAUCAUGCUUUCUAUUACCAUUCCUAGAUUGAACUACUACGUUAUUUAAGAUGUAUUGUUAACAAUUUCCAUUCUUCUUCUUGUAAUUUGAAGAUAAAAACUUCAGAAAAUAAGGAAAUCUGCAAUAAAACAGUAGUUCUACACGUGGUAGUCCCUAUAUAAAACACACCUAUCUACAUCUACCUAUGAUCGCCAUCUAUGACUUUAUCUAAUCUUUAACCCGUUAAUUUCAGCUACAUCCUGAUUACUA